GGGGGAAAAUUAAUUAAUAAAAAUGUUAAUAAAAAAAAUUUUAAUAUUAAAAUAUGAAUAAUGGGGGUUAAAGUAUUUUAAUAGAAAAAAUUUUUUAAUUUAUAGUGUAUGAGUAUUGUGGGGGAAAUUUGAAAUAUUUGAAAUUGAAUUUUUUUAUAAGUAAAUUUAAUUUAUUGUAUCUUGUGUAUCAGAGUUUAUUAAUUAUUUUUUAUAUAUGUAAAUUUCUCGAAUUUAAAAGAGUUAAUUAAUUAAUAAAUUUAUUGUUUUAUAAAUAUUUUUAAUAAUUAAUUAGAAAUGAAAUGUUAUUCGUUUUUAAAUAUAUCUAGUUUUUUAAGAAAAAAAUUUAAUUUUAAAUUAAAUAAGUUAUAAAAUUAUUUAAUUAUUUAAAAUAAUUUUAUUUUUAAUUUUAUAUUUUAAGGGAUAAUCUUUAAAUUAAAUUUUUAUAAUUACAACAUAAAAAAAAUAAAAAAUUUUAUAAUUUAAAUUGUUAAUAAAUUUUAUUUUAUUAUAAAUAAUUUUACUAAAAUUUAAGAUUUAAUUUUAAUUUAAUAUUUUAUUAAAAAAUUAUUAUGAAUUAUUUAUAUUAAGUUAUAAUGAUAAAAUUAGUAUAAAAGAAAAAUAUUUAAAAUUUUAUAUUUUUAAUAAUUAUUUAAAAGGAAUUCGACAAAAGUUUAUAUUCACCUGUUUAUCAAAAACAUGUCUUUUUGGUAAAUAAUUUAAAGUCUAAUCUGCCCACUGAUUUAAUUAUUAAAGGGCUGCAGUAUUUUGACUGUACAAAGGUAGCAUAAUCAUUAGUCUCUUAAUUGGUGACUUGUAUGAAAGAUUGGAUGAAAUAUAAAUUGUCUCUUGAAUAUUAAAUUGAAUUUAAUUUUUUAAUUAAAAAGUUAAAAUAAAUUAAAAAGACGAGAAGACCCUAUAGAGUUUUAUAUUUAUUUAAAAUUAAUUUAUAAAUUAAUUUUAUUAAUUUAAUUUUAAUUUAAUUAUUUUAUUGGGGUGAUAAAAAAAUUAAAUUAACUUUUUUUAAGUUUUUACAUUAAUUUAUGAUUUAUUGAUCCAUUAUUAUUGAUUAUAAGAAAAAAUUACCUUAGGGAUAACAGCGUAAUUUUUUUUUUUAGUACUUAUAAGAAAAAGAGUUUGCGACCUCGAUGUUGGAUUAAGAUAAAAUUUAAAUGUAAAAGUUUAAAAUUUUUGAUCUGUUCGAUCAUUAAAAUCUUACAUGAUCUGAGUUCAAACCGGUGUAAGCCAGGUUGGUUUCUAUCUUUUAAAGAUUUUUAAUAUUUUAGUACGAAAGGAGUAAAUAUUAUAAUUAAAUUAAUUUUUUAGAAUUUUAAUAAUAAUAAUUAAUAAAUUUAUUA
rnacentral:rRNA from 1 species